GGCUCGGUGGCAGAGUGGUAAUGCAGCGGAUUGCAAAUCCGUCUACGCCGGUUCGAUUCCGACCCGAGCCUCCA
rnacentral:tRNA from 1 species